CAGCAGGCGCGAAAACUUUACAAUGCGGGAAACCGUGAUAAGGGGACACCGAGUGCCAGCAUCAUAUGCUGGCUGUCCAGGUGUGUAAAAUACACCUGUUAGCAAGGGCCGGGCAAGACCGGUGCCAGCCGCCGCGGUAACACCGGCGGCCCGAGUGGUGAUCGUGAUUAUUGGGUCUAAAGGGUCCGUAGCCGGUUUGGUCAGUCCUCCGGGAAAUCUGACGGCUCAACCGUUAGGCUUUCGGGGGAUACUGCCAGGCUUGGAACCGGGAGAGGUAAGAGGUACUACAGGGGUAGGAGUGAAAUCUUGUAAUCCCUGUGAGACCACCUGUGGCGAAGGCGUCUUACCAGAACGGGUUUGACGGUGAGGGACGAAAGCUGGGGGCACGAACCGGAUUAGAUACCCGGGUAGUCCCAGCCGUAAACGAUGCUCGCUAGGUGUCAGGCAUGGCGCGACCGUGUCUGGUGCCGCAGGGAAGCCGUGAAGCGAGCCACCUCGGAAGUACGGCCGCAAGGCUGAAACUUAAAGGAAU
rnacentral:rRNA from 1 species